rnacentral:rRNA from 1 species
UACGUAGGGGGCAAGCGUUGUCCGGAUUUAUUGGGCGUAAAGAGCGUGUAGGCGGUCAGGUAGGUCCGUUGUGAAAACUCGAGGCUCAACCUCGAGACGCCGAUGGAAACCAUCUGACUAGAGUCCGGAAGAGGAGAGUGGAAUUCCUGGUGUAGCGGUGAAAUGCGCAGAUAUCAGGAGGAACACCAAUGGCGAAGGCAGCACUCUGGGACGUGACUGACGCUGAGACGCGAAAGCGUGGGGAGCGAACAGG